CCCUGGGCUUAGCUCUGCCCUCCUGGGGGCCUCCACCUCUUGCUGUUGCCAUGUAAAUGCCCUGGUCCUCAGGGGCUUGGCUUAGUCCUCCCACCCCUCUGUCCCAGGAGGCCCAUGAGCAUCCCAGACCAAGCCAUCAUCGGCACAGGUGGGGCUUGUGGGCCAGUAACUCAUUUCCUUCUCUAUUUCUCAAGGCUUCUAUCCCUUGUAGAUACUACUUUCAAACUCAGGAAAGUCUCUCUUUUAUUAUGUUUUUUUUAGGGAUGGGGUCUUGCUGUGUUGCCCAGGCUGGUCCUGAACUCCUGAGCUCAAGGGAUCCUCCCGACUUGGCCUCUCAAAGUGCUGGGAUUACAGGUGUGAACCACUGCACCUGGCUUCAGGAAUUUUCUUAUUCUUUUGAGACAGGGUCUCACUCCAUUGGCCCAGGCUGGAAUGUAGUGGUGCCAUCUUGGCUCACUGCAACCUCCACCUCCUGGGCUCAAGCCAUCCUCCCACUUCAGCCUCCUGAGUAGCUGGAACCAGAGGUGCACGCCACCACACCUAGCUAAUUUUGUUUUGUUUUGUUUUGGUAGAGACAGGGUUUUGCCAUGUUGCCCCGGCUGGUUUCAGACUUCUGGCCUCAGCCCCCCAAAGCGCUGGGAUUACAUGCAUGAGCCACUACACCCGACCAGGAAAAUCUCUUAAUUGCAAGUAUUUCCCCCUAAAGUGUGGUUUGUCUGUGUGCUCCACCCUCUCUCUAGGUCAUUCUCCUCACCCCAUGCACCUCCUCUGCCCAUCAGAUCCAUCCAGAUUCACACAAGAAAUGGAAGACGGUUCCUUGAGGCCUGGGCAGGCUGGUUUUGUGGCCUGCCCACACACUGGCUCAGGGACUUUGCCGUUCUCACUGGGUCAGGUGGGAUGACAGAGCUCAGUGAGGGCACUCGAUUAGCCCAGCCCUGAAGGAAGGACGAGCAGCUCACCCCAUCUCAGUGCAGCCUGCGGCCCCCGCAAGGUGUCCUCCCUGGUUACUGCACCAUCUCACAGCCCUCUAG
rnacentral:lncRNA from 10 species